AAGUUUACAUCAAAGUGUAAAAUUAACUAUUGCACCUUAUUAAUUAAGCGUGUAUCAUGAAUAAGUAAGUUAUUUUGUCUGGUGACUAU
rnacentral:tRNA from 1 species